rfam:Triticum aestivum genome assembly, contig: Triticum_aestivum_CS42_TGACv1_scaffold_321405_4BL
UUUGUACUCCCUCCGUCCGCAAAUACUUGUUGGAGAAAUGAAUAAAAAUGGAUGUAUCUAGAACUAAAAUACGUCUAGAUACAUCCAUUUCUCCGACAAGUAUUUCUGGACGGAGGGAGUAGGAU